UGAGGAAUAUUGCGCAAUGGGGGCAACCCUGACGCAGCGAUGCCGCGUGGGUGAAGAAGGCCUUCGGGUCGUAAAGCCCUGUCAGGCGGGAAGAAUAGCUCCUGGGUUAACAGCCGAGGGGUAUGACGGUACCGCCGAAGGAAGCACCGGCUAACUCCGUGCCAGCAGCCGCGGUAAGACGGAGGGUGCAAGCGUUAUUCGGAAUUAUUGGGCGUAAAGGGCGUGCAGGCGGCGGAUCAAGUCAGAGGUGAAAGCCCAGGGCUCAACCCUGGAAGUGCCUCUGAUACUGGUUCGCUUGAGUUCGGGAGAGGGAAGCGGAAUUCCGGGUGUAGAGGUGAAAUUCGUAGAUAUCCGGAGGAACACCGGUGGCGAAGGCGGCUUCCUGGACCGAAACUGACGCUGAGACGCGAAAGCGUGGGGAGCAAACAGG
rnacentral:rRNA from 1 species